rnacentral:lncRNA from 1 species
UGCUGGAGAAGUGUGCCAGGUGAUCAGCUGCAGGGCAACAUUUGGAUUUUCCUUACUGGAACCAUAAUGAAUUUCUCCAAGGUGCCAGAACUGCAGUUCCCAUAAGAGAUGGUGCCGGCGGCCGCCAUGAGCAGCGGGGCGCGGGCCCGCGGCAGGAGGAGGGCAGCCCGCCCCAGCCCGCCUUCCCCCGCCAGCUCCGAGGGCGAGGAGCCCCUCAGUUCUUCCUCGUGCUCCCAGCUCUCCCCUGUUUCCCGGCACAGCUCCCGCAGCUGCGAGGAGGAGGAGGAAGAGGGGGAUGUGGCCUCCCAGAGCCAAAAAGGCAAUAGAAAGGCUGAAGACUCUGAAAUAAUAGGGGGAAGAAAUCGUUCACCUUUGAAAGAUAAUCUUUCACCAUGGGAAGAAUGGUUCAUUUGCAAAGAGAAGGAACUACGUGCCCGCUUGCAAGUUAGAGCUCUGGAGCAUUAA